CCGGAAAUGUGCCCGAAUCUUUAAGGAUUACUUUGAUAGAGUAACUUACAGGAGUUAAAAUCUCCUCAUUUCC
rnacentral:tRNA from 1 species